UGGUAAGGAAAGGGGCUUUAAGGAAACUCAUACGUCAUCCCCGGCAAGUUAAAGACUUGGAGCUCGGCAUGCACAUUCCUUUCAGGCAAGAAUACUGGAACAGGUUGCCAUUUCCUACUCCAAGGGAUCUUCCUGACCCGGGGAUCGAACCUUCGUCUUUUGCGUCUCUGCACUGGAACUGGGACAAGGAUCUUUCUACUCAGGGUCCACGCUGCAGUCUUCCUCCCGCCUCUCCCCCUCCCUGCCUGCAGGGCACAAGUGCUGUGUGCCAGGCAUCGUGCGAGCACCAGGAUUUCCGUGAGUUUCCUGGGGAGCUUGUACAUUAAGCCAGUUUCCUGACUGAAAGGGGCCUACAAUAAAGUAAAAAGAGACAAGCAUAAAAUCAAUUAAGGGCACCAAAAUGUGAGAGAGGCUGUGACAGAAACAGUGACAGGGAGUCGUGUGAGAGAGAAGAUGGGGAGGAUUGGUCAGUGGCGUGUGGAAGUGAGAGAAGGGGAACUCUGAUGGAUUCAGAAAAGCUUCACGAAGCCUCUUGACGAUUCCAGCAAAGUCCGCCAUAAGCGUCGGCCUCAGACCUACAUGAAAGUCGCCUUUCUCGAAGUGUGUUUCCAAGAGAAAAUCUGUGUAGCAAGAGGUUUUGCUGCCAAAUAAUUUUGUGAAAUAUAGCAUGUUCUGGUAUUGGAAAUUCACAAUUCUUAUUAAGAUAUCUAGGACAUAGAAACUCUUCCAAAAGAAACCUGUUUAGAUGUGUGUCUUCCAGCCAAGGUGUGGAAUUACGGAGCUUAAUGCUUUUUUUUUUUUGAGAACAAUUAAACUUUUUGGAAAGCAGUGACUUAGGCAGGCAGAUCUUCUCUGCAGGCAGCUGUGAUUUGGCUGUGUGAUGUGCCGAGCCCAUCAGAAGUGGAGACGGGCCCUCUUGGAUGUCAAUAUCCCCCAACUCAGGUCAAUAAGAUCACCGAGAAUGCUGCUGCCUGGACGGAACACUGAGCCACCUGAGAACAGGCCUUCACGAUCCUGGAAGGAGACAGGAGAAGGGGAGGAAGCAAGCUGGAGGGGCAGCCUGAGUUUUGCUGAUUUUUCUGUCAUUCAGCUGGCCCACGGUUCACUCAGAGGCCGUCCUGAGAUGGAACUGCAUUCCUGGAUGCGUGACCGAGAGGUCGCUGGGGGGGAUGGUGUGGGGGCCCCCAGCG
ensembl:lncRNA